rnacentral:rRNA from 1 species
UACGUAGGGUGCAAGCGUUGUCCGGAAUUAUUGGGCGUAAAGAGCUCGUAGGCGGUUUGUUGCGUCGGCUGUGAAAUCCCGAGGCUCAACCUCGGGUCUGCAGUCGAUACGAGCAAACUAGAGUGUUGCAGGGGAGACUGGAAUUCCCAGUGUAGCGGUGAAAUGCGUAGAUAUUGGGAGGAACACCGGUGGCGAAGGCGGCCCCCUGGACCGGUACUGACGCUGAGGCGCGAAAGCGUGGGUAGCAAACGGG